AAACUUGUAUUUUAAAACCAAAAGCUGGAGAUCUGAUGGGUCUGAUUCCCAGUUAAGGUAUUUUUGCCCAUCCAUCCUGCUGAACUCCUUUUUUGUUGUUAAAAAAUUGACUCUUGUUAAAAGUCAAGCUUCGGACACAAGUUCAUUAUAACACCGCAGAUCAUCCGUAAGCAAAUGCCGUUCCACCCUACAACCACAACGCUCACCGUAUCAUCCGUAAACUCCCGAUAAUACCCCUACCACUUUCGCCGCUUUCUGAGGCCCCAACUACAAGGAACAAACUGUAAUACUUCGCUUCGAGACCUUCCUAUUUUCUUUCCCCCUGUGCACUCUUUGGUUUGAAAAAAGAACCCCCUGUUUCUUUUUCUGUAGAUUCAAAAACCAAACCUUGCGGCUGCAUAAUUCUUAGCGGGCACCAAUCUUCAUUCUUCUCGAGACCUCAUUCUUUGCCAUUACCCUUAUCUCUUUCAAAUCCCGCCCUAUUUCUUUACUCGUGAUUGCUUCAUUGUCCGUACAGUUUCUUAUACAGGCUCCUGGGUUUAUCGCAUUCGGGAGAUAACAAUUCGGCUCUGUUCGCUUCUUAAGUUAUGGCUAAUUUGGCUUGGGGUUUGGUUUUCUCACUUCUUCUUUGCUUCUUGGCAUCUGGGUCGCUCUCAAUUGAGGAUUUGCACCAAGCGUUUCCUAUUGUGGAACCUGAUCCUGGUCAUACAAAACUUCGUCUUUCAAGUGAAGGGCUGGAAGCCAUCAGAAGAAUAACAACCCCGAUUGCCGCUGUUGCUGUAAUUGGUCCAUACCGCUCUGGCAAAUCUUUUCUCCUUAAUCAGCUUCUUUCCCUCUCUUGUUAUGAAGGAUUUGGUGUUGGGCACAUGCGUGACACAAAAACAAAAGGGAUUUGGGUUUGGGGCUCUCCACUGGAGUUGGAUAUUGGUGGCAUGAAAACUUCUGUAUUUUACCUUGAUACUGAAGGAUUUGAAAGUAUCGGGAAGUCAAACGUGUAUGAUGACCGGAUUUUUGCUCUGGCUACUGUAAUGAGUUCUGUCUUAAUAUAUAACCUGCCUGAGACGAUCCGGGAAGCUGAUAUAUCUCGACUGUCAUUUGCUGUUGAGCUUGCUGAAGAAUUCUAUGGAAGAGUGAAGGGACAGGAUGUUGCUUUUGAGCCAGCAAAGCUUUUGUGGCUUAUCCAGCGCGAUUUUUUGCAAGGGAAGUCUGUGCAAGAAAUGGUGCAUGAAGCUCUUCGACGUGUCCCUAAUGAUAAUGGGGACAAAAAUAUUGAUCAGGUAAACCAGAUCCGAGACUCUUUGGCUGUUAUGGGUGGUAACAGCACAGCCUUUAGCUUACCGCAACCUCAUCUGAUGCGAACAAAGCUCUGUGACAUGAAGGAUGAACAACUUGACCCAGCAUAUGUUAGAAAGAGAGAGCAAUUGAAAAAGCUUGUUGCUAGUGUUAUUCAUCCAAAAAUUGUUCAGGGCAAAUAUCUGAAUGGCAAGGAGUUUGUAGCGUUCCUGGAACAGAUACUUGAAGCCUUGAAUAAAGGAGAGAUCCCAUCAACAGGCUCUCUUGUGGAGGUUUUCAAUAAGGAUAUUCUCAAGCGGUGCUUGAAGCAAUACAAUGAAAGGAUGGCUAAAUUACACUUACCUCUGUCAGCUCAAUCUUUGCAAGAUGCCCACGAAAAUUCUAGAACAGAAGUAAUGAAAGUUUUUGAUGAACAGCAUUUUGGCCGUCAUCACGCAAAGAAAUCUGUCAUGCAAUUGGAUGAAGAGAUACAAGAGGUGUAUAAGAAUUUCAUUCUUUCAAAUGAAUAUCAAUCCUCAAGGCUUUGUGACGAACUAUAUAUUAGAUGUGAGGACAAGAUGGACCAGCUUCAAGUUCUUAAACUUCCCUCCAUGGCCAAGUUUAAUGCAGGUUUUCUGCAAUGCAACCAAAGUUUCAAUCGAGAGUGUGUUGGACCUUCAAAAGCAAACUACGAGCAGCGCAUGAUGAAGAUGUUGGGGAAGUCAAAAUCUCAAUUUAUCAAGGAAUACAACCAGAGGCUUUUCAAUUGGCUGGUGGCCUUCUCCCUUGUCAUGGUUGUGGUGGGACGGUUUAUUAUAAAGUUUAUUUUGAUUGAAAUGGGAGCAUGGAUACUAUUUAUCUUCUUAGAAACAUACACAAGGUUGUUCUGGUCAGCAGAGUCUCUUUAUUACAACCCAGUUUGGCAUUUCAUUGUUGCCACUUGGGAAACAAUUGUCUACAGCCCCUUCAUUGAUUUGGACAGAUGGGCUGUUCCGAUCUCUUUUAUGUUUGCUAUAUUUCUACUUUAUUGGCGGUGUUAUGGGAGCCGGAAACAUGGGUCACGUGGACUUUUGCCUCUGUACAACAAUGGUAAAGGUACCUCAAACCGGCCGAGAUCAGAUUAAAAUGAUACAAGUAUAAAUUCAGGGGAUUAUCAUGGGCGAGCUUUUCUUGUUUUAGGUUCAAAUUCUCUGUAUGCAAUAGAAAGAAAUUCAUAGUUGUAUGAUGUCUUCCUGCCGAGGAAAAAACAAUGCGAAAGGAGGGGAAACAAAUAAAAAAGGAAAAUUGCAGUAAAGGUUAUCAGCUUAUCGGUUGUUUAAUCAUGUUGAUUUUUAUAAUAUACUUUAUAUCUAAUUUGGAAUAAUAAUAAUAAUAAUAAUAAUUUUUUUUUAAUGCAA